CACAGCUAUAAAACCAUAAAUGCACCAGAUCUUAUCUGACCUUGGAAGCUAAGGGUUGGGCCUAGUUAGUACUUAGAGGAAAGAAUAUGGAGAUGACUUUUA
rnacentral:rRNA from 1 species